AGUGAACGCUGGCGGUAGGCCUAACACAUGCAAGUCGAACGGCAGCACAGUAAGAGUUUGCUCUUACGGGUGGCGAGUGGCGGACGGGUGAGGAAUACAUCGGAAUCUACUUUUUCGUGGGGGAUAACGUAGGGAAACUUACGCUAAUACCGCAUACGACCUACGGGUGAAAGCAUGGGAUCUUCGGACCUUGCGCGAUUGAAUGAGCCGAUGUCGGAUUAGCUAGUUGGCGGGGUAAAGGCCCACCAAGGCGACGAUCCGUAGCUGGUCUGAGAGGAUGAUCAGCCACACUGGAACUGAGACACGGUCCAGACUCCUACGGGAGGCAGCAGUGGGGAAUAUUGGACAAUGGGCGCAAGCCUGAUCCAGCCAUACCGCGUGGGUGAAGAAGGCCUUCGGGUUGUAAAGCCCUUUUGUUGGGAAAGAAAAGCAGCAGGUUAAUACCCCGCUGUUCUGACGGUACCCAAAGAUUAAGCACCGGCUAACUUCGUG
rnacentral:rRNA from 1 species